UACGUAGGGUGCAAGCGUUAAUCGGAAUUACUGGGCGUAAAGCGUGCGCAGGCGGUUAUGCAAGACAGAUGUGAAAUCCCCGGGCUCAACCUGGGAACUGCAUUUGUGACUGCAUGGCUGGAGUGCGGCAGAGGGGGGUAGAAUUCCACGUGUAGCAGUGAAAUGCGUAGAGAUGUGGAGGAAUACCGAUGGCGAAGGCAGCCCCCUGGGAUGAUACUGACGCUCAUGCACGAAAGCGUGGGGAGCAAACAGG
rnacentral:rRNA from 1 species